rnacentral:rRNA from 1 species
GAUCCUGGCUCAGAUUGAACGCUGGCGGCAGGCCUAACACAUGCAAGUCGAGCGGCAGCACGGGGAGCUUGCUCCCUGGUGGCGAGCGGCGGACGGGUGAGUAAUGCAUAGGAAUCUGCCCGGUAGUGGGGGAUAACCUGGGGAAACCCAGGCUAAUACCGCAUACGUCCUACGGGAGAAAGCAGGGGACCUUCGGGCCUUGCGCUAUCGGAUGAGCCUAUGUCGGAUUAGCUGGUUGGUG